GUGGGCUGCAAAAUUUGAAAUUUGUGGAAUAAGACUAAGUGAAAUUGCCUCAGGACGCUAUGUAGCUGUGGGAGCAAUUAGCUCUAGACCACCCAUGAAAGGCCUCAAUGGCUCAGGAAUAAUAACAGACCCAUCUUCCUGCUGAUAAUUUUCAAGCAAGCAAAUGAUCAUUCGAGGCACAGCACAUGCUGUUGCAUUCAAUGUGUGAACAAAUUGUGUAGGUGCCAGAUUGCCUUUACUCUUCUUUGAAGUUGUUGGUACGGGUUCUUGUGGACGAUAUCGGAUUCCCAAUCUGCGGC
rnacentral:misc_RNA from 1 species